GGCAGUACCCAGGCAAAAGCCAUGCACAUUCUAGAAAACAUCCAGCACACUCCCCGAGGAAGAGGAUUCCAGAUCGUCUUCUGCACACGCCUUGCCCCUUUUUCUCCACCUGUCCUCGCUCAGAGCUUGCUGCGUCCCUGGAACGUCUCAGCACCGCAAUCCGAGUGAGCACAAGGGAUCGCCGCGGUCCCAGCUCCCCUGCUGCUUCUGGAGAGAGAACGAUUAGGGAAUGUUGAAGUCCAGCCCAGGGCCCUAGGGACAGUGCCGGACUCGCAACAUGGAGUCAGUCACGACGUGCCGUGAUUUAUCAGAAUCGAGGUCAGCUGCUGAAAUGGCCACUGUACGGAGUAAACUUCUAUUUUAUCCUGAAGUUAGAAUCUCAGAGAAUAACAAAGAAACCCACGAAGAUGAUCGAUUCUUCUAGGCUCACAUUUGGAGAGAUUAGAUUCUGCACAAUUCACAAACUGCCUUAUAAAGAACGUUUCCCAUUUGUUGUCCAAGCUCUCCAGAGACUGGCAGGAAAGGAGGUUAAAAAUGUCCAAAAGUGGGUGGCGAGGGGUG